GACGAACGCUGGCGGCGUGCUUAACACAUGCAAGUCGAACGAAGAGCGACGGAAGCUUGCUUCUAUCAAUCUUAGUGGCGAACGGGUGAGUAACGCGUAAUCAACCUGCCCUUCAGAGGGGGACAACAGUGGGAAACGACUGCUAAUACCGCAUACGAUCUAACCUCGGCAUCGAGGAUAGAUGAAAGGUGGCCUCUACAUGUAAGCUAUCACUGAAGGAGGAGAGUGCGGCUGAUUAGCUAGUUGGAGGGGUAACGGCCCACCAAGGCGAGGAUCAGUAGCCGGUCUGAGAGGAUGGACGGCCACAUUGGGACUGAGACACGGCCCAGACUCCUACGGGAGGCAGCAGUGGGGAAUCUUCCGCAAUGGACGAAAGUCUGACGGAGCAACGCCGCGUGAGUGAUGACGGCCUUCGGGUUGGAAAGCUCUGUUAAUCGGGACGAAAGGCCUUCUUGCGAAUAGUGAGAAGGAUUGACGGUACCGGAAUAGAAAGCCACGGCUAACUACGUG
rnacentral:rRNA from 1 species